CCCGCUGAACUUAAGCAUAUCAAUAAGCGGAGGAAAAGAAACUAACAAGGAUUCCCCUAGUAACGGCGAGUGAAGAGGGAAAAGCUCAAAUUUGUAAUCUGGCGGUCUCUGGCCGUCCGAGUUGUAAUUUGGAGAGGCGUUUUCCGCGUCGGACCACGUACAAGUCCCCUGGAACGGGGCGUCGUAGAGGGUGAGAAUCCCGUUCACGACGUGGACUGCCGAUGCUAUGUGAUGCGCCCUCGAAGAGUCGAGUUGUUUGAGAAUGCAGCUCAAAAUGGGUGGUAAAUUCCAUCUAAAGCUAAAUAUUGGCGAGAGACCGAUAGCGAACAAGUACCGUGAGGGAAAGAUGAAAAGAACUUUGGAAAGAGAGUUAAACAGUACGUGAAAUUGCUGAAAGGGAAACGCUUGGAGUCAGUCGCUUCGUCGGGGAUUCAGCCGGGCUUCUGUUCGGUGUACUAUCAGGGUGAGGGGUCACUGUCGAUUUCUGUUGCGCGAAAUAAGCGUGAGGAAGGUGGGACCUUCCGGUGUGUUAUAACCUUCCGUCAUAACCGUGACUGGGAUCGAGGACCGGAGCGCGCCCUCAAGGGUUUAAGGUUCGCCUCUUAACACCCGCUUUAGAAGCUUGGGUUAAUGGGUUUUAAGGAACCGGUCUUGUAACACGGAGGGGGGAAUUAUCGGCCGGCUAAUUUAAUUUCGCCCCAUGGGGAGUGCGGAUCUAAAUUUAAUUGGCCUGCCGUUUUUAUACUACGGGACUUGGAAAAAACAAAGCCUUUACCUUUCCUAAAUUUCUUUGGGUGAGAAGCCCCCCCUUCCCUCUCCUCGCCGAUUUUAAUUUAAGGCCCCACCCCCGCUCCCCCCUUCCCAAAAGGUUGGGGGCUGUUUAACAGAAGUGCAGUGUUUAGGGUUUACACUUUAAAAAAAAAAA
rnacentral:rRNA from 1 species